CAGUAGCCGCGGGAAUACGUAGGGUGCAAGCGUUAAUCGGAAUUACUGGGCGUAAAGCGUGCGCAGGCGGUUAUAUAAGACAGAUGUGAAAUCCCCGGGCUCAACCUGGGAACUGCAUUUGUGACUGUAUAGCUAGAGUACGGCAGAGGGGGAUGGAAUUCCGCGUGUAGCAGUGAAAUGCGUAGAUAUGCGGAGGAACACCGAUGGCGAAGGCAAUCCCCUGGGCCUGUACUGACGCUCAUGUACGAAAGCGUGGGGAGCAAACAGGAUUAGAUACCCCAGUAGUCCCUGUCUCUUAUAC
rnacentral:rRNA from 1 species